rnacentral:rRNA from 1 species
UACGUAGGGUGCGAGCGUUGUCCGGAAUUACUGGGCAUAAAGAGCUCGUAGGUGGUUUGUCGCGUUGUUCGUGAAAUCUCACGGCUUAACUGUGAGCGUGCGGGCGAUACGGGCAGACUGGAGUACUGCAGGGGAGACUGGAAUUCCUGGUGUAGCGGUGAAAUGCGCAGAUAUCAGGAGGAACACCGGUGGCGAAGGCGGGUCUCUGGGCCGAUAUUGACGCUGAGGAGCGAAAGCGUGGGGAGCGAACAGG